UCGGACCUAUGAAGGGCACAUGUUCCCCUUGCUUGUUCAGGAGGAACUUGAUUUUUGGCCCGAAAAAGACAUUCGCCAAAGAAUAUGGAUGACCGCGACUGAGGCAAGGGAGGUUUGUCAGCAUUGGUGGAUGAAGGAAGCCUUAGAUAGAUUAGUACGACGCCUCACAUCUGUGGAAAAGCGCGAAGAGGAAGAAGUAGUAGGACCAUGUUCUCUAAGCUAGCUCAGCAAAAAUCUUCUAAAAUUGUAAAUAGGAAAUUGUUGAGGGACUCAGACAUGGUUAGAGCAGAGGAGGAGUAAGAGUAUUAGAAUCAGAGCAAUCAAGAGAGAGGAACAACAACCCUGUUGAAAGGAUUGGAUUGGAAGACAAGUAGGAGGAGGAAACUGGGGUUGCUAUCUUGUUUCAUGUUGUUGGGUGGUUUCUAGUUUUGAUGGGUGUUAAAAUGAUGUACAUUAAUUUGUUGGAAACCAACAUAUAUAUUGAUUGAGAAUUAGAACCACCACAUCUUGAAAACAAAUACAGUACAUGAUAUUAGAUUCUGACCA